UUUUUAGUAUAAAUAUGUCCCAUGCACAUUAGCAUAACAUGCAAUAUUUGGGACAUAUUUGUACUAGAA
rnacentral:miRNA from 1 species